rnacentral:tRNA from 1 species
GAGAGAUGGCAGAGUGGUCGAUUGCAACGGUCUUGAAAACCGUCGUACGGAGACGUACCGGGGGUUCGAAUCCCUCUCUCUCC